rnacentral:rRNA from 1 species
CUACGGGCGGCUGCAGUAGGGAAUUUUCCACAAUGGGCGAAAGCCUGAUGGAGCAACGCCGCGUGCAGGAUGAAUGCCUUAGGGUUGUAAACUGCUUUUAUAUGUGACGAUUAUGACGGUAGCAUAUGAAUAAGGAUCGGCUAACUCCGUGCCAGCAGCCGCGGUCAUACGGAGGAUCCAAGCGUUAUCCGGAAUUACUGGGCGUAAUGAGUUGCGUAGGUGGCAUGGUAAGUAGAUAGUGAAAGCGUGUGGCUCAACCAUACUUACAUUAUCUAAACUGCUAAGCUAGAAGACGAGAGAGGUAGAUGGAAUUCCCAGUGUAGGAGUGAAAUCCGUAGAUAUUGGGAGGAACACCGAUGGCGUAGGCAGUCUACUGGCUCGUUCUUGACACUAAGGCACGAAAGCGUGGGGAGCAAACGGGAUUAGAUACCCGCGUAGUC